AUGGCGGUUGAAAGGUCUGGAAUUUCUAAAGAUGUUACAGAAUUGAUUGGAAAAACCCCUUUAGUAUAUCUGAACAAAAUCACGGAUGGUUCUGUUGCUCGCGUUGCCGCGAAACUUGAAUUGAUGGGGCCAUGUUCCAGUGUUAAAGACAUGAUUGGCUAUAGUAUGAUUACUGAUGCAGAGGAGAAAGGGGCUUAUUACGCCUGGCAAGAGUGUCUUCAUUGA